CCUGACGACGCAACGCCGCGUGGAGGAUGAAGGUCUUNGGAUCGUAAACUCCUGUUGCCCGGGACGAAACGCCUCGACCUAACACGUCGAGGCCUGACGGUACCGGGUGAGGAAGCCCCGGCUAACUCUGUGCCAGCAGCCGCGGUAAUACAGAGGGGGCAAGCGUUGUUCGGAAUUACUGGGCGUAAAGGGCGCGUAGGCGGCCUGCUAAGUCGAACGUGAAAUCCCCGGGCUCAACCCGGGAACUGCGUUCGAUACUGGUUGGCUUGAAUCCGGGAGAGGGAUGCGGAAUUCCAGGUGUAGCGGUGAAAUGCGUAGAUAUCUGGAGGAACACCGGUGGCGAAGGCGGCAUCCUGGACCGGCAUUGACGCUGAGGCGCGAAAGCCAGGGGAGCAAACGGGAUUAGAUACCCCGGUAGUCCUGGCCCUAAACGAUGAGUGCUUGGUGUGGCGGGUAUCGAUCCCCUGCCGCGCCGAAGCUAACGCAAUAAGCACUCCGCC
rnacentral:rRNA from 1 species